rnacentral:rRNA from 1 species
AGUGAACGCUGGCGGUAGGCCUAACACAUGCAAGUCGAACGGCAGCACAGUAAGAGCUUGCUCUUACGGGUGGCGAGUGGCGGACGGGUGAGGAAUACAUCGGAAUCUACUUUUUCGUGGGGGAUAACGUAGGGAAACUUACGCUAAUACCGCAUACGACCUACGGGUGAAAGCAGGGGAUCUUCGGACCUUGCGCGAUUGAAUGAGCCGAUGUCGGAUUAGCUAGUUGGCGGGGUAAAGGCCCACCAAGGCGACGAUCCGUAGCUGGUCUGAGAGGAUGAUCAGCCACACUGGAACUGAGACACGGUCCAGACGCCUACGGGAGGCAGCAGUGGGGAAUAUUGGACAAUGGGCGCAAGCCUGAUCCAGCCAUACCGCGUGGGUGAAGAAGGCCUUCGGGUUGUAAAGCCCUUUUGUGGGGAAAGAAAAGCAGCAGGUUAAUACCCCGCUGUUCUGACGGUACCCAAAGAAUAAGCACCGGCUAACUUCGUG